CCUACGGGCGGCAGCAGUGGGGAAUUUUGGACAAUGGGCGAAAGCCUGAUCCAGCAAUGCCGCGUGCAGGAUGAAGGCCUUCGGGUUGUAAACUGCUUUUGUACGGAACGAAACGGCUCCUCUUAAUAUGGGGGGCUAAUGACGGUACCGUAAGAAUAAGCACCGGCUAACUACGUGCCAGCAGCCGCGGUAAUACGUAGGGUGCGAGCGUUAAUCGGAAUUACUGGGCGUAAAGCGUGCGCAGGCGGUUAUAUAAGACAGAUGUGAAAUCCCCGGGCUCAACCUGGGACCUGCAUUUGUGACUGUAUAGCUAGAGUACGGUAGAGGGGGAUGGAAUUCCGCGUGUAGCAGUGAAAUGCGUAGAUAUGCGGAGGAACACCGAUGGCGAAGGCAAUCCCCUGGACCUGUACUGACGCUCAUGCACGAAAGCGUGGGGAGCAAACAGGAUUAGAUACCCUUGUAGUCA
rnacentral:rRNA from 1 species